UGGGGAAUAUUGCACAAUGGGCGAAAGCCUGAUGCAGCAACGCCGCGUGCGGGAUGACGGCCUUCGGGUUGUAAACCGCUUUCAGCAGGGACGAAGGUUUUCUGACGGUACCUGCAGAAGAAGCACCGGCUAACUACGUGCCAGCAGCCGCGGUGAUACGUAGGGUGCGAGCGUUGUCCGGAAUUAUUGGGCGUAAAGAGCUUGUAGGCGGUCCGUUGCGUCGGAAGUGAAAACUCAGGGCUUAACCCUGAGCCUGCUUUCGAUACGGGCGGACUUGAGGGAUGUAGGGGAGAACGGAAUUCCUGGUGGAGCGGUGGAAUGCGCAGAUAUCAGGAGGAACACCAGCGGCGAAGGCGGUUCUCUGGACAUUUCCUGACGCUGAGAAGCGAAAGCGUGGGGAGCAAACAGGCUUAGAUACCCUGGUAGUCCACGCCGUAAACGGUGGCACUAGGUGUGGGACCCAUUCCACGGGUUCCGUGCCGUAGCUAACGCAUUAAGUG
rnacentral:rRNA from 1 species